UGGGGAAUAUUGGACAAUGGGCGAAAGCCUGAUCCAGCCAUGCCGCGUGUGUGAAGAAGGUCUUCGGAUUGUAAAGCUCUUUUAGUGAGGAAGAUAAUGACGGUACUCACAGAAGAAGUCCUGGCUAACUCCGUGCCAGCAGCCGCGGUAAUACGGAGAGGGCUAGCGUUAUUCGGAAUUAUUGGGCGUAAAGGGCGCGUAGGCUGGUUAAUAAGUUAAAAGUGAAAUCCCGAGGCUUAACCUUGGAAUUGCUUUUAAAACUAUUAAUCUAGAGAUUGAAAGAGGAUAGAGGAAUUCCUGAUGUAGAGGUAAAAUUCGUAAAUAUUAGGAGGAACACCGGUGGCGAAGGCGUCUAUCUGGUUCAAAUCUGACGCUGAAGCGCGAAGGCGUGGGGAGCAAACA
rnacentral:rRNA from 1 species